UAGUUUGUGGAUGUGGAUCGGAUCCGUUGUUGCCGUGGCUGUGGUGUCAGCCGAAGCUAUAGCUCUGAUUCAACCUCCAUGUGCCUCAGGUGCAGUCGUAAAAAGAAAAAUCAAGAGGCAGAAUGUGAGAAGUGGUGCCAUGAGAUGCCAGUGGGAUAAUAAAUGAGAAACAGCUGUGUCGAUUGAGUGCCUCCUUCACCCCAGGGCUGUGGCACCUGCUGCUUUGAGAUGCACUUAGUCCUUGUAUCAACCCCACAAACUAAGGAUUGCUGGUGCCCCCAUUAUACAGAGGAGGAAACUGAGGCUCGGAGAGGUGGAAUAAGGUGUCCUAAUUCACAUAUCUAGCACAUUGCAGGGCCAGGAUCUGACCUCAAGAAGUUGGCUCCAGAGGCUACACUGCUACCAAGUCACAGCACAGUAGUUAAAUGCUAUGGUUUGUUGGAAAGGGUCAAAGACACCCUCAUAGCCACAGGCAAAACUCCUCCCAGCUAAGAUGAUCCCUUCCUAAGAGAUCAGAAGCUCUAUGUUGCCUCUGGCCAGGCCAGAAGGACAGCACAGAUCUGAAUGAAAACACCAGCACCAAUGCAGCUGGUCCUGGCCUCCACUGGGCCCAUCACUCUACUUUAGGUCCCACAGUCUGUGCUGCUUCUGUGCUGACCGCAGCGGGAGGCCGAGUGCAGCCAGGCCCCGCCAGCCAGGCAUUCUGUGGACCAGGUGAGGGCUGCCAGGUGUGGCUGGGGUGGCAUUUACUCUGUGGCCAUCCUGCCUCUGCUCGGAGACGAGGCAGCUCCCGGGAGCAUCGUAAACCCAGCUGAGGCUGAACCAAGAUAGCAGUCCUCAUCCUCCAUCCCCUGUCACUGGACAUCCUGUAUUCAAUCACCCACAUAUUCAUUUCUUUUAAUCAUUCUCUUCUUGACUGUGAUAAAGUCAUUUUUAUAGCUCCGA